UACGUAUGGUGCAAGCGUUAUCCGGAUUUAUUGGGUUUAAAGGGUGCGUAGGCGGGCUUUUAAGUCAGCGGUAAAAAUUCGGGGCUCAACCCCGUCCGGCCGUUGAAACUGGGGGCCUUGAGUGGGCGAGAAGAAGGCGGAAUGCGUGGUGUAGCGGUGAAAUGCAUAGAUAUCACGCAGAACUCCGAUUGCGAAGGCAGCAUACCGGCGCCCUACUGACGCUGAGGCACGAAAGCGUGGGUAUCGAACAGG
rnacentral:rRNA from 1 species